GUCACUGUCUUAUAAUUUGCUAUUACCAGUCACAAUUUAACCAAGUUCUGUGUUGAAAACUUGUUUUGGUUUGCUUCUGUCCCAAGAGGCACUAGCUGGGGCCCCUACAGAGUGCAGGGCAGAGCUUCAUUUUUUGUUUGAAUGUUCUAGGGUCGAGGGACCUCAGACUGAAUCAAAGGAUGAAGCCUCUGCCCGUGAUGUCAUCUAUGGCCCCCAGCCCCAGCCUCUGGAAAAUCAGCUCCUCUCUGAGGAAACAAAGUCAACUAAGGCUGAGACUGGGCGCAGAGUUGGCAAACUGCCAGAAGCCUCUCGCAUCCUGAACACUAUCCUGAGUAAUUAUGACCACAAACUGCGCCCUGGCAUUGGAGAGAAGCCCACUGUGGUCACUGUUGAGAUCUCCGUCAACAGCCUUGGUCCUCUCUCUAUCCUGGACAUGGUGAGUACUAAGCUUUUUUAGUACUGUUUCCUAGCCCAGGGGCUGACCUAUGGGACCUUCCACAGACUUCUGCUUUCUGCUCUGUAUUUCUGUAACAACUCCAUUAAUUUAUUUUCCGGAGGGAGGAAGGGAUUUUUUAGCCACUGGCUUGAGAAUGAGACUGGAAAAGGUAAGUCCCUUGCUACUUGAAGAGGAUCUUCAGAAUCAUGACCAUAUCUUCCAGUUUUUUCAUUCAAAAUAAAAAUAAUAAAGCAAUUUUAAACACCACAA
rnacentral:sRNA from 1 species